rnacentral:rRNA from 1 species
GUGCCAGCAGCCGCGGUAAUUCCAGCUCCAAUAGCGUAUAUUAAAGUUGUUGUGGUUAAAAAGCUCGUAGUUGAACCUUGGGCCUGGCUGGCCGGUCCGCCUCACCGCGUGCACUGGUCCGGCCGGGCCUUUCCCUCUGUGGAACCCCAUACCCUUCACUGGGCGUGGCGGGGAAACAGGACAUUUACUUUGAAAAAAUUAGAGUGCUCCAGGCAGGCCUAUGCUCGAAUACAUUAGCAUGGAAUAAUAAAAUAGGACGCGCGGUUCUAUUUUGUUGGUUUAUAGGACCGCCGUAAUGAUUAAUAGGGACAGUCGGGGGCAUCAGUAUUCAACUGUCAGAGGUGAAAUUCUUGGAUCAGUUGAAGACUAACUACUGCGAAAGCAUUUGCCAAGGAUGUUUUCAUUAAUCAGGAACGAAAGUUAGGGGAUCGAAGACGAUCAGAUACCGUCGUAGUCUUAACCAUAAACUAUGCCGACUAGGGAUCGGACGGUGUUAUUCAUGACCCGUUCGGCACCUUACGAGAAAUCAAAGUGCUUGGGCUCCAGGGGGAGUAUGGUCGCAAGGCUGAAACUUAAAGAAAUUGACGGAAGGGCACCACCAGGGGUGGAGCCUGCGGCUUAAUUUGACCCAACACGGGGAAACUCACCAGGUCCAGACACAAUAAGGAUUGACAGAUUGAGAGCUCUUUCUUGAUUUUGUGGGUGGUGGUGCAUGGCCGUUCUUAGUUGGUGGGGUGACUUGUCUGCUUAAUUGCGAUAACGAACGAGACCUUAACCUGCUAAAUAGCCCGCAUUGCUCCGGCAGUGCGCUGGCUUCUUAGAGGGACUUUCG